AAGCUUGUGUUAGUAAGUGUUAAGUGAACGAGCGGUUGGAAAACAGCAGCUGCAAUAUAACCUCAUGGGAAAUAAGUUCCCAUUCCUGCUGUCCACAUGACCCCUCAGCAACCAAUCCCCGAGCCAGGCGAGUCGUAAACUUCCAAGGCAAAGUUGUAAAUUUUCAUAAACAGCGGCCGUUUUUGUGCUUUGGACGCGCUUUCCUCACCGCCAUCUUUAUUUUCUCCCAAAGAAUGAAAUGUUUAAAUUUUGCGUCAAUAUGGUAGAAACGAGUCAGGAUGUGGAGGUGUGAGGGUGGCCAGCGGGGAAGGAUGCGCUCUCGGUUCUGAUCCAUCUGGUUCGGGAAAGGCUCUUUGUAUUUCUCUGUGGAGCAGCUUCAGUGUGAGGUGAGAGCUGCAGGUCUGGACUCGGAGGGGCGUCGUGAGGUCGGCGGUCCCGCUGCCCUCACUGCCCUUUACCGUGCUGAGUCUCUCUGUGAGGGAAGCCAGGCCUCCGGAGCAGCGGGACGCACGUGGAGAUGACGAGCAGGCUGCGCAGGGCGUCGGGGUCGUGGGACACGUCGUUGGUGCAUCGAGGGCCUCCUUUGGAGAUGUAGUUUAUGGUCGGGAUGCCGGGACGGGACCGGGCGUCGGCGUAGAAGCUGCUCAGAGAGCCGCUGACUGAAAACAGAAGAAAGAAGAAGUCUGAGACAAACACACACACACACACACACACAAAUCCCUCACUCUGAAUAGUUAAUAUAUAUAUAUUAAAAAAAUGCUAUUACCAUUUCCACAAGAGCCCAUUGUGUUUUCUGAUGUUUUAAUUAUGUGUGUGUGGAAAUUAUUGCAAAUGAAAUAAUAUCAACAGAUUUUUUUCUAAACUAAUAGCACAGCCUGAUUAUUUAUUUAUAAAAAUGUUAAAAAAAACAAAACAAAAUGGGACACAGUAAAUAAAUGUUUUAAUAUUUUCAUGGUAAUUUUAAUGGUUGAUGGUAAUUUUAUGUAGAUUUAAACACUUCUCCCGUGUAUUUUAAUUUUUUAUGCAUUUUUGGUGAUUAAAAAAAAAAUGUAUUUCUA